rnacentral:rRNA from 1 species
AUUGAACGCUGGCGGCAGGCCUAACACAUGCAAGUCGAACGGAUGAAGGGAGCUUGCUCCUGAAUUCAGCGGCGGACGGGUGAGUAAUGCCUAAGAAUCUGCCUGGGAGGGGGGUAUAACGUCCGGAGACGGGCUCUAAUAGCGCAUACUUCCUGGGUGAGAAAGUGGGGGAGCUUCGGACCUCACGCUAUCAGAUGAGGCUAGGUCGGAUUAGCUAGUUGGUGGGGUAAAGGCCUACCAAGGCGACGAUCCGUAACUGGUCUGAGAGGAUGAUCAGUCACACUGGAACUGAGACACGGUCCAGACUCCUACGGGAGGCAGCAGUGGGGAAUAUUGGACAAAGGGCGAAAGCCUGAUCCAGCAAUGCCGCGUGCGUGAAGAAGGUCUUCGGAUUGUAAAGCACUUUAAGUUGGGAGGAAGGGCAGUAAGUUAAUACCUUGCUGUAUUGACGUUACCAACAGAAUAAGCACCGGCUAACUUCGUG